rnacentral:rRNA from 1 species
UGAGGAAUAUUGGACAAUGGGCGGGAGCCUGAUCCAGCCAUGCCGCGUGCAGGAUGACGGCCCUAUGGGUUGUAAACUGCUUUUAUACGGGAAGAAACGCGCCCACGUGUGGGCGUUUGACGGUACCGUAAGAAUAAGGACCGGCUAACUCCGUGCCAGCAGCCGCGGUAAUACGGAGGGUCCGAGCGUUAUCCGGAAUCAUUGGGUUUAAAGGGUCCGUAGGCGGGCCUGUAAGUCAGGGGUGAAAGUUUGUGGCUCAACCAUAAAAUUGCCUUUGAUACUGCAGGUCUUGAGUCAUGGUGGGGUUGCCGGAACAUGUGGUGUAGCGGUGAAAUGCAUAGAUAUCACAUAGAACACCGAUCGCGAAGGCAGGUGACCAACCAUGUACUGACGCUGAUGGACGAAAGCGUGGGUAGCGAACGGG